rnacentral:rRNA from 1 species
GAUGAACGCUGGCGGCGUGCUUAACACAUGCAAGUCGAACGGUGAACACGGAGCUUGCUCUGUGGGAUCAGUGGCGAACGGGUGAGUAACACGUGAGCAACCUGCCCCUGACUCUGGGAUAAGCGCUGGAAACGGCGUCUAAUACUGGAUACGAACCACGAAGGCAUCUUCAGUGGUUGGAAAGAAUUUCGGUUGGGGAUGGGCUCGCGGCCUAUCAGCUUGUUGGUGAGGUAAUGGCUCACCAAGGCGUCGACGGGUAGCCGGCCUGAGAGGGUGACCGGCCACACUGGGACUGAGACACGGCCCAGACUCCUACGGGAGGCAGCAGUGGGGAAUAUUGCACAAUGGGCGAAAGCCUGAUGCAGCAACGCCGCGUGAGGGAUGACGGCCUUCGGGUUGUAAACCUCUUUUAGCAGGGAAGAAGCGAAAGUGACGGUACCUGCAGAAAAAGCGCCGGCUAACUACGUGCCAGCAGCCGCGGUAA